rnacentral:rRNA from 1 species
GAUGAACGCUGGCGGCGUGCCUAAUACAUGCAAGUCGAGCGAACAGAUGAGGAGCUUGCUCCUCUGACGUUAGCGGCGGACGGUGAGUAACACGUGGAUAACCUACCUAUAAGACUGGGAUAACUUCGGGAAACCGGAGCUAAUACCGGAUAAUAUAUUGAACCGCAUGGUUCAAUAGUGAAAGACGGUUUUGCUGUCACUUAUAGAUGGAUCCGCGCCGCAUUAGCUAGUUGGUAAGGUAACGGCUUACCAAGGCAACGAUGCGUAGCCGACCUGAGAGGGUGAUCGGCCACACUGGAACUGAGACACGGUCAAGACUACUACGGGAGGCAGCAGUAGGGAAUCUUCCGCAAUGGGCGAAAGCUUGACGGAGCAACGCCGCGUGAGUGAUGACGGUCUUCGGAUCGUAAAACUCUGUUAUUAGGGAAGAACAAAUGUGUAAGUAACUAUGCACGUCUUGACGGUACCUAAUCAGAAAGCCACGGCUAACUACGUG